rnacentral:misc_RNA from 1 species
AUUUCCCCAAUGGGUUCUCCGGAUUUCUGGAGACUUGUAGGGGUUGUGGGAUUUUUGAUGUGUCGUCUCCGGACGGGCGGUGCAGGGUAGUCGAGUUAGACUUGGUGGAAUUCCGUCGAUAGGAGUUCCGUCGAGUCUGGUCGGCUAUGUGUUGGACGGUGCAGGGUAGGCUGCUUGGACAUGGUCGGUUCGAGGAUCGAUUCGAGGGCCGGCCUGUCGAUGAUGUGUGAUGUAUGCGGUCUAGGGUAGGCUGGUUUGUCUUGGUUCAAUUUGAUGUCGGCUCCCGUGCAGGCCAGAGUGAGUGGGGUCCAGGGUAGGUACAGGGUAGGCAGCUUAGAUUUGGUCGAUCUGGAGGUCGAUUCUCCGGCUGGCGGAUCUGACACUGUUGAAACGAGAUGCGAGCGGUGUAGGGUAGGCUAGUUUCGUCCUCGCCAGGUUGCGAUUUGGACGAGAUAUGUGGUUUAGGGUAGGCUCUAGGGUAAGUAGAAUUCGAGUUUCGUCGCCGACAGUUUUCUGUGAGUGUAUGGUAGGUACAGGGUAGGCAAAUCUCUCUCCGGCCAGUACUUGUCUGGUGGUCGUGAGUCGAUUUUUUUGUUUU